CCCUUAGAUGUCCUGGGCCGCACGCGCGUUACACUGAUGCACUCAACGAGCAUAUAACCUUGGCCGAGAGGCCUGGGUAAUCUUGUUAACAUGCAUCGUGAUAGGGAUCGAUUAUUGCAAUUUUUAAUCGUGAACGAGGAAUUCCUAGUAAUCGCAGUUCAUCAAACUGCAAUGAUUACGUCCCUGCCCUUUGUACACACCGCCCGUCGCACCUACCGAUUGAAUGGUCCGGUGAGGACUCGGGAUUGUGGUUUAGCUCCUUCAUUGGGGCCUGACCGCGAGAACUUGUCCGAACCUUAUCAUUUAGAGGAAGGUGAAGUCGUANCA
rnacentral:rRNA from 1 species